GCUGAUGUAGCUCAGUUGGUAGAGCAACUGAUUCGUAAUCAGUAGGUCGAAGGUUCGACUCCUUUCAUCAGCACCA
rnacentral:tRNA from 1 species